rnacentral:rRNA from 1 species
AGGGGGGCUGCUCCUAGUACGAGAGGACCGGAGUGGACGCAUCACUGGUGUUCGGGUUGUCAUGCCAAUGGCACUGCCCGGUAGCUAAAUGCGGAAGAGAUAAGUGCUGAAAGCAUCUAAGCACGAAACUUGCCCCGAGAUGAGUUCUCCCUGAGACCUUGAGUCUCCUGAAGGAACGUUAAAGACUAUGACGUUGAUAGGUCGGGUGUGUAAGCGCAGCGAUGCGUUGAGCUAACCGAUACUAAUGAACCGUGAGGCUUAACCUU